CUGUCUGACUCCUGGUCCAAGGUAAGGAGGGAUGUUUCCACUGUCUGACUCCUGGUCCAAGGUAAGGAGGGAUGUGUUUUCUGUCUGACUCCUGGUCCAAGGUAAGGAGGGAUGUUUCCACUGUCUGACUCCUGGUCCAAGGUAAGGAGGGAUGUGUUUUCUGUCUGACUCCUGGUCCAAGGUAAGGAGGGAUGUUUCCACUGUCUGACUCCUGGUCCAAGGUAAGGAGGGAUGUGUUUUCUGUCUGACUCCUGGUCCAAGGUAAGGAGGGAUGUGUUUUCUGUCUGACUCCUGGUCCAAGGUAAGGAGGGAUGUUUCCACUGUCUGACUCCUGGCCCAAGGUAAGGAGGGAUGUGUUUUCUGUCUGACUCCUGGUCCAUGGUAAGGAGGGAUGUGUUUUCUGUCUGAC